UGGGGGAUAUUGCACAAUGGGCGAAAGCCUGAUGCAGCGACGCCGCGUGGGGGAUGAAGGCUUUCGGUUUGUAAACCUCUUUCGCUAUCGAACAAGGCCCGCUUAGGGUGGGUUGAGGGUAGGUGGAGAAGAAGCGCCGGCUAACUACGUGCCAGCAGCCGCGGUAAUACGUAGGGCGCGAGCGUUGUCCGGAAUUAUUGGGCGUAAAGGGCUUGUAGGCGGCUUGUUGCGCCUGCUGUGAAAACGCGGGGCUUAACUUCGCGCGUGCAGUGGGUGCGGGCAGGCUUGAGUGUGGUAGGGGUGACUGGAAUUCCAGGUGUAGCGGUGGAAUGCGCAGAUAUCUGGAGGAGCACCGAUGGCGAAGGCAGGUCACUGGGCCAUUACUGACGCUGAGGAGCGAAAGCAUGGGUAGCGAACAGG
rnacentral:rRNA from 1 species